rnacentral:rRNA from 1 species
UACGGAGGGUGCAAGCGUUAUCCGGAUUCACUGGGUUUAAAGGGUGCGUAGGAGGGUAGGUAAGUCAGUGGUGAAAUCCCCGAGCUUAACUUGGGAACUGCCGUUGAUACUAUCUAUCUUGAAUACCGUGGAGGUGAGCGGAAUAUGUCAUGUAGCGGUGAAAUGCUUAGAUAUGACAUAGAACACCAAUUGCGAAGGCAGCUCGCUACACGAAUAUUGACUCUGAGGCA